AUCCUUACAUGGUAGAAGAGAUACUAUAAUCCAAAAGAUGGUUUUUCCAGGGAGAGGUUUAUCCAUUAUACUCUAGAAGUGCUAUCCCUUGUGAUUUCUCAAACACAAGAAACUCAGUCAUCUAAUUUGUGAUAGUUGGGAACUGUAUUGGCACAGUCCCCUU
ensembl:snRNA U1 U1 spliceosomal RNA